rnacentral:rRNA from 1 species
UACGUAGGGGGCUAGCGUUGUCCGGAAUCAUUGGGCGUAAAGCGCGUGUAGGCGGUCCGGUAAGUCCGCUGUGAAAGUCGGGGGCUCAACCCUCGGAUGCCGGUGGAUACUGCGGAGCUAGAGUACGGAAGAGGCGAGUGGAAUUCCUGGUGUAGCGGUGGAAUGCGCAGAUAUCAGGAGGAACACCAAUAGCGAAGGCAGCUCGCUGGGACGUUACUGACACUGAGGCGCGAAAGCGUGGGGAGCGAACAGG